rnacentral:rRNA from 1 species
GAAUAUGGGGGGACCAUCCUCCAAGGCUAAAUACUCCUGACUGACCGAUAGUGAACCAGUACCGUGAGGGAAAGGCGAAAAGAACCCCGGCGAGGGGAGUGAAAAAGAACCUGAAACCGUGUACGUACAAGCAGUGGGAGCCCCACCACUAAGCCAGUGGUGAACUCCACAUACGCAUCCUUUGCUGAGGAURCGGUUAACGGAGCGAAAGCGACGUUCAACCGCAAAAGAAGCAGAGGGGGCUUAGUGGUGGGGUGACUGCGUACCUUUUGUAUAAUGGGUCAGCGACUUAUAUUCUGUAGCAAGGUUAACCGAAUAGGGGAGCCGGAGGGAAACCGAGUCUUAAUUGGGCGUUAAGUUGCAGGGUAUAGACCCGAAACCCGGUGAUCUAGCCAUGGGCAGGUUGAAGGUUGGGUAACACUAACUGGAGGACCGAACCGACUAAUGUUGAAAAAUUAGCGGAUGACCUGUGGCUGGGGGUGAAAGGCCAAUCAAAC